rnacentral:rRNA from 1 species
UACGUAGGGUGCAAGCGUUGUCCGGAAUCAUUGGGCGUAAAGCGCGUGUAGGCGGCUUGCUAAGUCCGCUCUGAAAGCCCCGGGCUCAACCUGGGAAUUGCAUUCGAGACUGCGUAGCUAGGGUGCGGAAGAGGGAAGCGGAAUUUCCGGUGUAGCGGUGAAAUGCGUAGAUAUCGGAAGGAACACCAGUGGCGAAAGCGGCUUCCUGGUCCAGCACCGACGUUCAGGCACGAAAGCGUGGGGAGCAAACAGG